UAUUAUUCUAUCAACCUUGCUGGCUGUCUACUCAACAGGUGGACAUGGUCAGACCCUGACUGAAUCUGAGCCUGUGGUCAUUAAUCCUGGAGGAUCUCACAGACUGACCUGCACAGCCUCUGGGUU